UAGCUACGGCGAGUGAAGCGGGAAGAGCUCAAAUUUGAAAGCUGGCGUCUUCGGCGUCCGCGUUGUAAUCUCGAGAAGUGUUUUCCGUGCUGGACCAUGUACAAGUUCCUUGGAAUAGGACGUCAUAGAGGGUGAAAAUCCCGUACUUGAUGUGGCCGCCCAGUGCUUUGUGAUACACUUUCCAUGAGUCGAGUUGUUUGGGAAUGCAGCUCAAAAUGGGUGGUAAAUUCCAUCUAAAGCUAAAUAUUGGGGAGAGACCGAUAGCGAACAAGUACCGUGAGGGAAAGAUGAAAAGCACUUUGGAAAGAGAGUUAAAUAGUACGUGAAAUUGUCGAAAGGGAAGCGCUUGAAGUUAGACAUGCUAGUUGGAAUUCAGCCUUGCUUUUGCUUGGUGCAUUUUCCGGUUAGCAGGCCAGCAUCAGUUUUGCCUGUCGGAUAAGGGUAGGAGGAAUGUGGCCCCUCGGGGUGUUAUAGCCUCUUACUGGAUACGACGGGUGGGACUGAGGACAGCAGUGCGCCUUUAUGGCGGGCCUUCGGGCACCUUCGCACUUAGGAUGCUGGCGUAAUGGCUUUAAGCGACCCGUCUUG
rnacentral:rRNA from 1 species